UACACACCGCCCGUCACAUCACGAAAGUCGGCUGUACCGGAAGUAGGUGCGCUAACCGCAAGGGGGCAGCCUCCCAUGGUAUGGUCGGUGAUUGGGGUG
rnacentral:rRNA from 1 species